rnacentral:rRNA from 1 species
GGAUUGUGGUCUGCAACUCGACUACANGAAGCCGGAAUCGCUAGUAAUCGCGGAUCAGAAUGCCGCGGUGAAUACGUUCCCGGGUCUUGUACACACCGCCCGUCACACCAUGGGAGCCGGAAAUGCCCGAAGUCAGUGACCCAACCGCGAGGAGGGAGCUGCCGAAGGCAGGUCUGGUAACUGGGGUGAAGUCGUAACAAGGUACC